rnacentral:rRNA from 1 species
GACGAACGCUGGCGGCGUGCCUAAUACAUGCAAGUAGAACGCUGAAGGAGGAGCUUGCUUCUCCGGAUGAGUUGCGAACGGGUGAGUAACGCGUAGGUAACCUGCCUGGUAGCGGGGGAUAACUAUUGGAAACGAUAGCUAAUACCGCAUAAGAGUAGAUGUCGCAUGACAUUUGCUUAAAAGGUGCAACUGCACCACUACCAGAUGGACCUGCGUUGUAUUAGCUAGUUGGUGAGGUAACGGCUCACCAAGGCAACGAUACAUAGCCGACCUGAGAGGGUGAUCGGCCACACUGGGACUGAGACACGGCCCAGACUCCUACGGGAGGCAGCAGUAGGGAAUCUUCGGCAAUGGACGGAAGUCUGACCGAGCAACGCCGCGUGAGUGAAGAAGGUUUUCGGAUCGUAAAGCUCUGUUGUAAGAGAAGAACGAGUGUGAGAGUGGAAAGUUCACAAUGUGACGGUAUCUUACCAGAAAGGGACGGCUAACUACGUG